AACGAACGCUGGCGGCAGGCUUAACACAUGCAAGUCGAACGGGUGUAGCAAUACAUCAGUGGCAGACGGGUGAGUAACACGUGGGAACCUUCCUAGGGGUACGGAACAACUCAGGGAAACUUGAGCUAAUACCGUAUACGUCCGUGAGGAGAAAGAUUUAUCGCCCUUAGACGGGCCCGCGUCGGAUUAGCUAGUUGGUGGGGUAACGGCCUACCAAGGCGACGAUCCGUAGCUGAUCUUAGAGGAUGAUCAGCCACACUGGGACUGAGACACGGCCCAGACUCCUACGGGAGGCAGCAGUGGUGAAUCUUGGACAAUGGGCGCAAGCCUGAUCCAGCCACGCCGCGUGAGUGAAGAAGGUCUUCGGAUUGUAAAGCUCUUUUGCCAGGGACGAUAAUGACGGUACCUGGAGAAUAAGCCCCGGCAAACUUCGUGCCAGCCGCCGCCGUAA
rnacentral:rRNA from 1 species